GACGAACGCUGGCGGCGUGCUUAACACAUGCAAGUCGAACGGAAAGGCCCUUCGGGGUGCUCGAGUGGCGAACGGGUGAGUAACACGUGGGUGAUCUGCCCUGCACUUUGGGAUAAGCCUGGGAAACUGGGUCUAAUACCGAAUAGGACUCCGGCCUUCAUGGGUUGGGGUGGAAAGCUUUUGCGGUGUGGGAUGGGCCCGCGGCCUAUCAGCUUGUUGGUGGGGUAAUGGCCUACCAAGGCGACGACGGGUAGCCGGCCUGAGAGGGUGACCGGCCACACUGGGACUGAGAUACGGCCCAGACUCCUACGGGAGGCAGCAGUGGGGAAUAUUGCACAAUGGGCGCAAGCCUGNUNCAGCGACGCCGCGUGAGGGAUGACGGCCUUCGGGUUGUAAACCUCUUUCAGCACAGACGAAGCGCAAGUGNCNNUAUGUGCAGAAGAAGGACCGGCCAACUACGUGC
rnacentral:rRNA from 1 species